CCUACGGGAGGCAGCAGUGAGGAAUAUUGGUCAAUGGACGCGACUCUGAACCAGCCAAGUAGCGUGAAGGAUGACGGCUCUAUGGAUUGUAAACCUCUUUUAUACGGGAAUAAACUGUGUGACGUGUCGUAUUUUGUAUGUACCUUAUGAAUAAGGAUCGGCUAAUUCCGUGCCAGCAGCCGCGGUAAUACGGAGGAUCCGGGCGUUAUCCGGAUUUAUUGGGUUUAAGGGGUGCGUAGGCGGCCUUUUAAGGGAGUGGUGAAAUGCCGUGGCUCAACCAUAGCAUUGCCGUUGAAACUGGGGGGCUUGAGUAUGUUUGAGGCAGGCGGAAUGCGUGGUGUAGCGGUGAAAUGCUUAGAUAGCACGCAGAACCCCGAUUGCGAAGGCAGCCUGCCGAGGCAUGACUGACGCUGAGGCUCGAAGGUGUGGGUAUCAAACAGGAUUAGAUACCCGAGUAGUC
rnacentral:rRNA from 1 species